rnacentral:misc_RNA from 1 species
UUUUGAAAAAAAAAAAAAAAAAAAAACCAUUAUUUUUUUACUCUUAAAUGAUCUCCAUAUAAUUAAUAAGACCCAUUAAACGAUAAACACCAAUCCCAAUAUACUUAAAUCCUCAGUCAGCUUCCCCUUGCUUACAGACUGCAAUCAGGUCCCCUAUGUGACAAUUCCUGUACCUCUUUUAAUUAAUCAAUUUCUCACCUCGACAUUGUCAUCUCCUUGGAUCCUGAUUAGUAGACCAACUAAACAAAAUGUCAGUGAGAAUUAGGGAUUUACUAAUUUUGAUCUCCUUUACUAAGCUUCAACCCAUAAUUCUCCCACAAGUUCUCCCCCCCAUCCCCCAUCAAGUAUCGAAAGCAGCUAUCACUCACUGCAUUUCCAGCAUUAGAAUUUGCUGGUGAACAACCUUCAUUUGCUUGAAGCCUCACUGUUUCUGGUCCUUGUUCGUUGAUCUCACAAUAAUCUCCUCCAGGAUUGUAUAUAGACUCAUUGUUUUGGAAGUAACAACAGCCUCUUGAAUUCUCCUUGCGUUUCUUAUUGCUACCCUCCUUGGUUUUCCUUGUAUAAUUGUUGAUGCUAUCCCAUUUCUCCUUGCACAUUAAGGAACUCCUUUCAUAGCCCACACAAGCCAUCUUCGCUGCUACUUCCUCCCAUAAAGCCUCCUCCUCCAGGCACCCGCUUUGCUGAAACCUUGAUUCCAUGUUGCUUCUCAAUUGCAUUAGUCUUGUAAAUUCAGCCUCUGUCCAGCUAUCACAUUUAAGGCUGUUGUGUGCUGUUUCACUUCUAUUUUCAAUCCCAUUUUCGCUUUGAUUUCGAAUCUCGGCCCUUAUCAGUUCUUCAGGAGACGAAGCAUUCGCUUCUCUUCCUGUUAGUCUUCGCAAAGCUUCCAUUAAAGCAGCAUCGCGAGCCUCGAUCCAGGCUCGCUCCUUAGCCCAAAACUUGUGUUCUCUAUCUAUCCUCGCAGCUUCUUGUUUCCUCCAUUCUUCCUCCCUGAAAAUUCUCUCUUGCUCCUUUUGCUCGAGGGUCUUUGUCAAUUUCUCCAACCAUGCCUCUUGCCUCUCAAUUAGCUUCAUCAUCUGCGAAUCGAUAAAGUCUUUUAUCUUUGCCUUCCAGUUCUUUCCAUCUCUUCUCUUUCUCCUCUUUUCCGUUGAAUCAUUCUCCACUAAUGUAGCAGUACUUAGAUCAUUAUCCUCAGAAGAAGAAGUAUCGAAUUCGGAGGAGUUGGAGAGGCUAAGACUAUCACAAAACUUUUGAGAAUGAAAGAUCUCCUGGUUUGCUUGAGUAGAGGUGCUGGCAACAGUGUGAAAUCGAAGAUUAUUUCCAAUAAAUUGGGUUUCUGGGACUGAGGCAGGAUUGCUUGUCUCUCCAUAGAGAGCUUCCAGUUGCCUAAAGAAUCUAUAGUGCUUGCCAUCUUGUCUUCCUGCCUUUCCUUCCUUAGUCUUCUUGUAGUACUU